rnacentral:lncRNA from 1 species
GCGAAAACUCCGUCUCAAAAAGAAAAAAAAGACUGCUAGAUAUUGUCUCACACACAGGUUACUGAGGCUUUGUUGAGGUGCUUUUUAGCCUUUUCCUCUCUCUGCUUCAGUUUGGAUAAAUUUUUUUUUUUUUUUUAAAGAUAGGGUCAUCUCCUGAGUAGGUGGGACUAUAGGCAUGAGCCACCACACCUACGUAUUUCCUGAAGAAAAACAAAAGAAAUAGGGUCUCAUUAUGUUAACCAGGCUGGUUUUGUAUUCCUGGGCUUAAGUGAUCCUCCUGCCUUGGCCUCCCAGGAGCUGGGAAUACAGGCAAAAGCCACAACGCCUGGCCAAGACACAAACAUUUCUAUCACCUUGCAAGAAUCUCUCAUACUCAGUUAAUAGCCACUCCUCCCUAAAGGUAUGUAGUAUUCUGACUUCUAUCGCCAUGGACUAUUUUUGCUUUUCUACAUUAGGAAUUCUGAAUGGAACAAUGCCCUACUUUUUCCCAGGCUUGCUCCAUUCAACAUUGUCUGUUGGGUCCAUCAUGAUGUGACAUGUAGAGAUGCUCAACUUAUGAUGGGGUAUAUGUGCCAAUAAACUCAUCAUAAACGUUCCCUCUGCCAUAUUAUAUGCAACCAGAGCCAUCACUUCUCAGCUGUGUGCAAACAUGAAGAAGCUUCCUAACACCUCUAACCAUCAGUUUCCUCAUUUGUAAUGAUAUUACGAAAAUGCCUACUCCAUAGGAUUAUCGUGAGGAUUGAGUGAAUCAAUACAUAUUAAGCACAUAGAAAAGUACCUAGCACAUGGUAAGCAUGCAAUAAAACUUGUUGUUUUAAGCCUUUGAUGCGAUUUGCCUUAUAAUUAAUUAUGGUGUCUAUACUACCUUGAGAAACACUAAUUUAAGUCAAAUCACCUCUGGGGACACAUGAAUGAGGAAGACAUAAUGGCACUUUCAUCUUGUGAGCACAGCUCCAUGACGUAUCACAGUGACACGGGCUUAGUCUCAAAGCAAGACUAACAAUCAUAAGGGUCAUAGGUAAAUACUAAAGACAGUAAAAGUGGUGGGAAAAAGGAACUAGGUGUGGGAGAGGUGCCUUGGAGCGCUUAAUGUCAUUCUGUGAGUACAGUAGCUACACAUUGCUUACCUUUGAAUAAACGAGAACCCGAUUACAAUAAGAAGUAAAACAUAUGAACAGACUGAAAUAAAACACAAUAAUCCAUAAAUAUCACAUAAGAAAUGUUAUCCAGAAAUCACAGUUUGUGCUAUCUGAAAA